rfam:Parcubacteria bacterium GW2011_GWA2_36_10 TR94_C0025, whole genome shotgun sequence.
GUGGUUACUAAUAAGGGUAUAUGGUGGAUGCCUUGACACCAAAAGGCGAUGAAGGACGUAGCAAUCUGCGAUAAGCUUCGGGGAGGUGAUAAGCAACCUGUGAGCCGGAGAUUUCCGAAUGGGGAAACCCUUCCGUAUGAAGUACGGAAACCAUCAAGUGAAUACAUAGCUUGAUUGGAGACAACCUGGGGAAUUGAAACAUCUUAGUACCCAGAGGAAUAGAAAGAAUUAAUAUACUUAUUAGCUAAUAGCGUAUGGCAUUUUGUCCCGCGACGCGGGACAAAAUUUACUAUCUGCUAUAAGCUAAUAGGUAUCUCGAUUCCCUGAGUAGUGGCGAGCGAAAAGGGAAGAGCCUAAACUUUAGAUAAGAUAACUUAUUUUGAGAUUUUGAGACUUCGGUUUUAAAGUUAAAGAGAUAAGGAAAUGCCUACAAGGCUAACGCUGUCUAAAGCGUUGUAAGAGGCUAUCGUUUGGAAACUUGUAGAUUCCGAGCAGUCAUUAUUGUUUAUUUAGUAGAACAGUUUGGAAAAGCUGACCAAAGACGGUGAAAGUCCGGUAUACGAAAAGUAAAUAUAAGCUGUCGAUAGUUUUCUUGAGUACCACGAGACCGGAGAAAUCUUGUGGGAAUCCAGCGUCACUAUGCGCUAAGGCUAAAUACUUUUGGUGAUCGAUAGUGAACUAGUACCGUGAGGGAAAGGUGAAAAGCACCCCGAGAGGGGGAUGAAAUAGUAUCUGAAACCAUAUACUUACAAGGAAUCGAAGCUCUAUGUCCGCUUUCGGGCGGAAAUGAGUGACGGUGUGCCUAUUGAAGAAUGAGCCAACGAGUUAGUUGCAUGUAGCUUAUUUAACUCCUUCGGGAGGUAGGUAAAGUGAAAGCGAGGAUUAAUAGUCCGUAACAAACUUUAUACUUGUUCCCGCGAAGGCGGGAGCCUAGUUUCCUAUUUCAGGGAUCAGGUAUAAAAUUUGUAGGCUGUAUGCACUAGACCCGAAACCGAGUGAGCUUGCCAUGACCAGGGUGAAGCGACCGUAACAAGUCGUGGAGGCCCGAACCCACUAGCCGUGUAACACUAGGGGAUGAGUUGUGGUAAGAGGAGAAAUUCCAAUCGAACUCGGCAAUAGCUGGUUCUCCUCGAAAUAGUUUUAGGACUAGCCUUUUGAGUUAAGUUUUGGUGGUAGAGCACUGGAUGGAGUAGGGUGGCAUUGCGUCCAUACCUGCUUCAAUCAAACUCCGAAUGCCAUUACGGAUUUCAAAGGAGUCAGACCAUGGGGGCUAAGCUUCAUUGGUCAAAAGGGAAACAGCCCAGAUCUCCAUCUAAGGUCCCAAAGUCUAGGUUAAGUGUAAAAGGUGGUAAAGUGACUUAUACAACUAGGAGGUUGGCUUAGAAGCAGCCAUCCUUUAAAGAUAGCGUAAUAGCUCACUAGUCAAGUUACUUCGCGCCGAUAAUUUAACGGGGCUCAAACCUAGCACCGAAGAUGAGAACUUCUGUCUUUAUUGACAGGAUUGGUAGAGGAGCGUUCUAUACUGCGUUGAAGCGAUACCGUGAGGAGUCGUGGAGUGUAUAGAAGUGAGAAUGUUGGCAUGAGUAGCAAAAAUUCAGGUGAGAAUCCUGAACACCGCAAACCCAAGGUUUCCUGGGCAACGAGAAUCAACCCAGGGUUAGGCAAUCCUAAGGCGAGGCCGAAAGGCGUAGUCGAUGGAAGAGCAGGUUAAUAUUCCUGCCCUACUGCUAUUUUUCGAUGAGGGGACGCAGGGUGAAUUUUUUCACGUUAUUUGGUUAUGAACGUUGUCUGUGAGUAGUGUGUUUUCUAGGAAAAUCCGGAAGACAUUAAGCGCCAAAGCAGCCAGAAGAUUGAGACUUCGGUCAAAGUCAACGAAAAUUAAAGCACUGCCAAGAAAAACCUCUAGAGCUAAGAUAGUAGUAUCUGUACCGCAAACCAACACAGGUGGGUGAGGAGAGUAUCCUCAGGUGUACGAGAGAAACUUCGCUAAGGAACUCGGCAAAACAGCGGCCGUAACUUCGGGAUAAGGCCUGCCCUGCUUUUGCAGGGCCGCAGCGAAAGACUCCAAGCGACUGUUUACCAAAAACUUAGGUCCCUGCUAAAGCGCAAGCUGAUGUAUAGGGGCUGAUGCCUGGCCAGUGUCCGAACGUUAAGGGGAGAGGUUCACGCCUUGAACUGAAGCGCGGAUGAACGCCGGCCGUAACUAUAACGGUCCUAAGGUAGCGAAAUUCCUUGACGGGUGAGUUCCGUCCUGCACGAAUGGCAUAACGACUUGGAGACUGUCUCAGCGAAGUACUCGGCGAAAUUGCAAGAUGAGUAAAGAUGCUCAUUGCCCGUAACUAGACGAAAAGACCCCGUGAAGCUUUACUACACUUUGGUAUUGAUUUAAGGCUAUAUUUGUUCAGGAUAGGUGGGAGACUUUGAAGCUCUGACGUAAGUUAGAGUGGAGUCAACCUUGAGAUACCACCCUGAUAUAAUUUUAAAUCUAACUUAACUCCAUGAAUCUGGAGAAAGGACAGUAUCUGACAGGUAGUUUAACUGGGGCGGUUGCCUCCCAAAAUGUAACGGAGGCGUUUACAAAGGUUGGCUAGCUCCUGAUGGAAAUAGGAGUGGUCGUGCAAACGCAUAAGCCAGCUUUACUGCAAGAGCUACAACUCGAGCAGUUGCGAAAGCAGAAGUUAGUGAUCCGACCCUGGGGGUGAAGAAGCUCCCAAGGGUUAGGCUGUUCGCCUAUUAAAGCGGUACGCGAGCUGGGUUCAGAACGUCGUGAGACAGUUCGGUCUCCUAUCUGUUAUGGGCGUCGAAUUUUGAAGGGUCUCCUUUCUAGUACGAGAGGACCGAAAGGAACGAACCUCUAGUGUACCAGUUGUUUUACCAAAAGCAUUGCUGGGUAGCUACGUUCGGUUAAGAUAAGUGCUGAAAGCAUAUAAGCACGAAGCUGUCCCUAAGAUUAGAAUUCAUUAUAGAUUCCUAGUAGACGACUAGGUUGAUAGGCUAUAUGUGUAAUUGCAGUAAUGCAUUUAGCAGAGUAGUACUAAUAAAUCGAAGUAACCACUA